rnacentral:rRNA from 1 species
UGAGUACUAUAUAAUAGUUAAAACUUUCAACAACGGAUCUCUUGGUUCUGGCAUCGAUGAAGAACGCAGCGAAAUGCGAUAAGUAAUGUGAAUUGCAGAAUUCAGUGAAUCAUCGAAUCUUUGAACGCACAUUGCGCCCCCUGGUAUUCCGGGGGGCAUGCCUGUCCGAGCGUCAUUACAACCCUCAAGCUCAGCUUGGUGUUGGGCCCCGCCGCCCCGGCGGGCCCUAAAGUCAGUGGCGGUGCCGUCCGGCUCCGAGCGUAGUAAUUCUUCUCGCUCUGGAGGUCCGGUCGUGUGCUCGCCAGCAACCCCCAAUUUUUUUCAGGUUGACCUCGGAUCAGGUAGGGAUACCCGCUGAACUUAAGCAUAUCAAUAAGCGGAGGAAAAGAAACCAACAGGGAUUACCUCAGUAACGGCGAGUGAAGCGGUAACAGCUCAAAUUUGAAAUCUGGCCUCACGGUCCGAGUUGUAAUUUGUAGAGGAUGCUUCGAGCAUGGUCUGGCCUAAGUUCCUUGGAACAGGACGUCAUAGAGGGUGAGAAUCCCGUAUGCGGCCAGGUGCCUACGCUCAUGUGAAGCUCCUUCGACGAGUCGAGUUGUUUGGGAAUGCAGCUCAAAAUGGGUGGUAAAUUUCAUCUAAAGCUAAAUAUUGGCCAGAGACCGAUAGCGCACAAGUAGAGUGAUCGAAAGAUGAAAAGCACUUUGGAAAGAGAGUUAAACAGUACGUGAAAUUGUUGAAAGGGAAGCGCUUGCAACCAGACUUGCGCGCGGCCGAUCAUCCGGUGUUCUCACCGGUGCACUCGGCCGUGCUCAGGCCAGCAUCGGUUUUGGCGGCUGGAUAAAGGCCCUAGGAAUGUAGCUCCUCUCGGGGAGUGUUAUAGCCUAGGGUGCAAUGCAGCCUGCUGGGACCGAGGACCGCGCUCGGCUAGGA